rnacentral:rRNA from 1 species
GACGAACGCUGGCGGCGUGCUUAACACAUGCAAGUCGAACGAAGUGGCGAACGGGUGAGUAACGCGUAAUCAACCUGCCCUUCAGAGGGGGACAACGGGUGGAAACGACUGCUCAUACCGCAUACGGAAGGAGGGGAUUGCGUCUGAUUAGCUAGUUGGGGGGGUAACGGCCCACCAAGGCGAUGAUCAGUAGGCGGUCUGGGAGGAUGAACGGCCACAUUGGGAAUGAGAACCGGCCCAGACUUCUACGGGAGGGAGCCGUGGGGAAUCUUCCGGCAAGGAUGAAAGUCUGACGAGGCAACGCCGCGUGAGUGAUGACGGCCUUCGGGUUGUAAAGCUCUGUUAAUCGGGACGCGGUACCGGAAUAGAAAGCCACGGCUAACUACGUGCCAGCCGCCGCGGUAAUUC